UUUUCAUCUAUGAUUUAACGCAUUGCUUAGUAUAUGUUCUGUGACGCAUUGCUGCGUGCGUGUUAUAUGACGUUUAUUAUGAUGUAUUCAUGCAAUUAUAAUUAUGUUCAAUAUCUGUCACGAGUGGUAAAUUACGUUGCUAAAUCAUAUUAGUGAAAUGUCAAAAUUCAUUCGAUCUCAAAUGUAUUAUUUUUUGACAGCGAUUCAAGGACGAUGAAUACCUAAAAAAGUACAAACAAAGUUAUAUUAACAUAAUUUAUAAUUGUCUUGGAACGGUUACAAGAUGGCAACAUUGAAGCAUGAUAUUGAAUUACCAAGCAAUAUUCCAGAAUUAUUAAUGGAGAAACAUGCAAACUAUCUCAUUUCGUAUGGGACCAACAAAGAUGAAUAUGUAAGAAUCUAUUUUAAAUUUUA